rnacentral:rRNA from 1 species
AUGAACGCUGGCGGCGUGCCUAAUACAUGCCAGUCGAGCGAACAGACGAGGAGCUUGCUCCUCUGACGUUAGCGGCGGACGGGUGAGUAACACGUGGAUAACCUACCUAUAAGACUGGGAUAACUUCGGGAAACCGGAGCUAAUACCGGAUAAUAUAUUGAACCGCAUGGUUCAAUAGUGAAAGACGGUUUUGCUGUCACUUAUAGAUGGAUCCGCGCCGCAUUAGCUAGUUGGUAAGGUAACGGCUUACCAAGGCAACGAUGCGUAGCCGACCUGAGAGGGUGAUCGGCCACACUGGAACUGAGACACGGUCCAGACUCCUACGGGAGGCAGCAGUAGGGAAUCUUCCGCAAAGGGCGAAAGCCUGACGGAGCAACGCCGCGUGAGUGAUGAAGGUCUUCGGAUCGUAAAACUCUGUUAUUAGGGAAGAACAAAUGUGUAAGUAACUAUGCACGUCUUGACGGUACCUAAUCAGAAAGCCACGGCUAACUACGUG